AAGUAGUAAUACUUAGUGGCAGACGGGUGAGUAACAUGUAGGUAUCUGCCCUUUGGCCUGGAAUAACACGAGGAAACUUGUGCUAAUACCGGAUAAGUCUUUACGGAGAAAGCUUUAUGCACCAUUGGAUGAGCCUGCACUUGAUUAGUUUGUUGGUGGGGUAAUGGCCUACCAAGACUGUGAUCAAUAGCUGAUUUGAGAGGAUGAUCAGCCACAUUGGGACUGAGACACGGCCCAAACUCCUACGGGAGGCAGCAGUGGGGAAUCUUGCACAAUGGAGGAAACUCUGAUGCAGCGAUGCCGCGUGAGUGAAGAAGGCCCUUGGGUUGUAAAGCUCUUUCGUCGGGGAAGAAAAUGACUGUACCCGAAUAAGAAGGUCCGGCUAACUUCGUGCCAGCAGCCGCGGUAAUACAAAGGGACCUAGCGUAGUUCGGAAUUACUGGGCUUAAAGAGUUCGUAGGUGGUUGAAAAAGUUAGUGGUGAAAUCCCAGAGCUUAACUCUGGAACUGCCAUUAAAACUUUUCAGCUAGAGUAUGAUAGAGGAAAGCAGAAUUUCUAGUGUAGAGGUGAAAUUCGUAGAUAUUAGAAAGAAUACCAAUUGCGAAGGCAGCUUUCUGGAUCAUUACUGACACUGAGGAACGAAAGCAUGGGUAGCGAAGAGGAUUAGAUACCCUCGUAGUCCAUGCCGUAAACGAUGUGUGUUAGACGUUGGAAAUUUAUUUUCAGUGUCGCAGGGAAACCGAUAAACACACCGCCUGGGGAGUACGAC
rnacentral:rRNA from 1 species